rnacentral:rRNA from 1 species
UCGAGAAUCAUUCACAAUGGGCGAAAGCCUGAUGGUGCGACGCCGCGUGGGGGAAGAAGGCCUUCGGAUUGUAAACCCCUGUCAUGUGGGAGCAAGCUAGAGAUAGCAGAUAGUACCACAAGAAUAAGCUCCGGCUAACUACGUGCCAGCAGCCGCGGUAAUACGUAGGGAGCAAGCGUUAUCCGGAUUUAUUGGGUUUAAAGGGUGCGUAGGCGGUUUGAUAAGUUAGUGGUCAAAUGUCAGGGCUAAACCUUGGCUUGCCAUUAAAACUGUCAGACUCGAGUACAGUAGAGGUAAGCGGAAUUCGUGGUGUAGCGGUGAAAUGCUUAGAUAUCACGAAGAACUCCAAUUGCGAAGGCAGCUUGCUGGACUGUAACUGACGCUGAUGCUCGAAAGUGUGGGUAUCAAACA